AAUAAAAAGAAAUCCUCUUUGGAUUCAGAUUUGAAUUUUGCUCUGUUUUGGAUUUUAAUUUUUUUUCUUCUUCAGGGGAUAUUACAGAUGCAGCACUUCUAAAGCAUGUAUGGCCCGGAAGCAAGUGGAGCGGAACAGAUCCGACCCGGGAAUGUUCAUCGUCACCUACACGGCGGAGCAUAACCACCCGGCUCCCACCCACCGCAACUCCCUAGCCGCAACCUCACGCCCUAAGGGGUCGCACCACCCGCCAUAAGGGCUCGUCUUCCGCCAACACCCCUACCACUCCUCCGCAGAGCGGUGGCGAAUCGGACUCGUCGGAGAAGCCGUGCUCCGACGGCACGAACAGGCCCACCUGUUCUUCGCCGAUGACCCCGGCGGAGGAAGACGACCUAUUCCUCGAUUUCACGGGGGCGGAGAGCAGGGGAGAAGAGCCUAAUUUCGACGUAAUCGACGAGGAGGAAGAUGAAGGGAACGUUGGCGGCGGUGGGUUCUCACCGGAAGACGGUGGUCCUGGUGAUGAUUUCUUUGUGGGUUUAGAGGAACUGACUCAGCUCAGUAGUAUAGCUGCUUCCGGAGAUCGUUUCUCCGGUGAGUUCCCGACGAGCUUUGGGUUUCCUAGGCUUGCUACCGCCGGCAGCGUCUGAGACUACUAGAAAGAAAGGGUUUUUACUAAAAAACAAUGGCGUUAUUUGUUAAAUUUAAUCUCUGGUUCUUAUUAUUAUUAUGAAACUGACCGUAUAGAGUUUUGUUGUUUUUUCUGUAUUUUUCUCUCCGGUGUACCGUACAGAGAUGAUGUAUUGUUUUGUUUUAGAGGCAGCCGACUGGUAAUGGGAAAAUGAUUGGUUGUAGAAAAAAGAGGAAAGAAGUGAAAAGUAAAAGAAGAAUAGAGAGUGCUGGAAUGAAGCCAAAAGAGAUUUUAUGAUUCCAUUUUCAGAGGAGAGUGAGAGUGGGGUUUCUUAGUUGAGAGAGAAUACAGACAUAUUCUUCCUCUUUUUUGUUAAGAUCCUAUAUUCUCUCUUCUUUAGAGGGAUGA
rnacentral:lncRNA from 1 species